rnacentral:rRNA from 1 species
AACGGCCGCGGUACCCUGACCGUGCGAAGGUAGCAUAAUAACUUGUUCUUUAAAUGGGGACUAGCAUGAACGGCACCACGAAGGCCUCACUGUCUCCUUUUUCCAAUCAGUGAAACUGAUCUCCCCGUGAAGAAGCGGGGAUGAUAAUAUAAGACGAGAAGACCCCAUGGAGCUUUAAACCCAAUAAGCAACCCUAAUCAACACAACUCAUCUAAAUUCUUUCUCCCCCUGCUUUUUGGUUUUAGGUUGGGGUGACCACGGAGUAAAACAUAUCCUCCACGACGUACGGGAUUAACCCUUAUCCAAGAGCCACCGCUCUAAGAAUCGACAAAUUGACGUUUUUUUGAUCCAAUAUAUUGAUCAACGAACCAAGUUACCCUGGGGAUAACAGCGCAAUC